GAUGAACGCUGGCGGCGUGCCUAAUACAUGCAAGUCGAGCGAACGGACGCGAAGCUUGCUUCUCUGAUGUUAGCGGCGGACGUGUGAGUAACACGUGGAUAACCUACCUAUAAGACUGGGAUAACUUCGGGAAACCGGAGCUAACACGGUAUGAUAUCUUGAACCGCAUGGUUGAAUAGUGAGAGACGGUGUUGCUGGCACUUCUAGAUGGAUCCUCGCUGCAUUAGCUAGUUGGUAAGGUAACGGCUUACCAAGGCAACGAUGCAUAGCCGACCGGUGAGGGGGAUCGGCCACCCGGGAGCUUGGACACGGUCCUGGCUCCUACGAGAGGCAGCAGUAUGGAAUCUUCGGCAGAAGGCGAAAGCAUGACAGAGCGACGCCGCGUGAGAGAUGGAGGUCUUCGGAUCGUAAAGCUCUGUUAUUGGUGAAGAACAGAUGUGGAAGUAGCUGUACACAUCGUGACGGUACCUAGUCAGAAAGCCACGGCUAACUACGUG
rnacentral:rRNA from 1 species